rnacentral:ncRNA from 2 species
GAUUUAUAUAGAAGAGGCGAGAGACAGGCUCUAUGACCCUCUGGCAACCUGGAAAAUCCAAGGUGCCAAUUCCUGCCAUCGGUUGAUACAGCCGAGGGAACUAUAAAUU